UAGUCCACGCCGUAAACGAUGAUUACUCGAUGUGUGCGAUAGACAGUACGCGUCCAAGCGAAAGCGUUAAGUAAUCCACCUGGGGAGUACGCUGGCAACAGUGAAACUCAAAGGAAUUGACGGGGGUCCGCACGAAGCGGUGGAGCAUGUGGUUUAAUUCGAUUGAUACGCGAGGAACCUUACCUGGGCUAGAAUGCGACCGACGCCAGUGGAAACACUGGUUUCUUCGGACGGGAAGCAAGGUGCUGCAUGGUUGUCGUCAGCUCGUGCCGUGAGGUGUUGGGUUAAGUCCCGCAACGAGCGCAACCCCAGUGUCUAGUUGCCAGCAUUUCGGAUGGGGACUCUAGGCAGACUGCCUGCGCAAGCAGAGAGGAAGGAGGGACGACGUCAAAUCAUCAUGGCCCUUACGCCCAGGGCGACACACGUGCUACAAUGGGGGUACAGUGGGUUGCUACCUGGUGACAGGAUGCCAAUCUCUAAAAGCCCCUCUCAGUUCGGAUUGG
rnacentral:rRNA from 1 species